AGAUAUUUAACCUCGCGAAGCAUCUAGAUUCUGCAGAGUUUGAUCCUGGCUCACGACGAACGCUGGCGGCGUGCCUAAUACAUGCAAGUUGAGCGCUGAAGAUUGGUACUUGUACCGAUUGGAUGAGCAGCGAACGGGUGAGUAACGCGUGGGGAAUCUGCCUUUGAGCGGGGGACAACAUUUGGAAACGAAUGCUAAUACCGCAUAAUAGCUUUAAACAUAAGUUUUAAGUUUGAAAGAUGCAAUUGCAUCACUCAAAGAUGAUCCCGCGUUGUAUUAGCUAGUUGGUGAGGUAAAGGCUCACCAAGGCGAUGAUACAUAGCCGACCUGAGAGGGUGAUCGGCCACAUUGGGACUGAGACACGGCCCAAACUCCUACGGGAGGCAGCAGUAGGGAAUCUUCGGCAAUGGACGAAAGUCUGACCGAGCAACGCCGCGUGAGUGAAGAAGGUUUUCGGAUCGUAAAACUCUGUUGUUAGAGAAGAACGACGAGGAGAGUGGAAAGCUCCUCGUGUGACGGUAUCUAACCAGAAAGGGACGGCUAACUACGUGCCAGCAGCCGCGGUAAUACGUAGGUCCCGAGCGUUGUCCGGAUUUAUUGGGCGUAAAGCGAGCGCAGGUGGUUUAUUAAGUCUGGUGUAAAAGGCAGUGGCUCAACCAUUGUAUGCAUUGGAAACUGGUAGACUUGAGUACAAGAGAAGAAUGAGAACGUCGCAACUUCAUCCCAUGUCGUAUGCGGUGAAAUGCGUAGAUAUAUGCAGGGAACACCCAGUCGCGAAAGCGGCUCUCUGGUCCCUGUAACUGACACUGAGGCUCGAAACGCGUGGGGAGCAAACAGGAUUAGAUAUCCCUGGAUAGUACCACGCCGUAAACGAUGAGUGCUAUGAUGUAGCGAGCUACUAAGUCUCUCUGUAUUCGCAGCUUAACGCAAUAAGCACUACGACUGGGUGAGCUACGAUGCCGGCAAUGAUCUCGCAAAACACUCUAAAAGAGAACCUGAUGACCUGCGGGGCCCGCACAAGCGGUGGAGCAUGUGGUUUAAUUCGAAGCAACGCGAAGAACCUUACCAGGUCUUGACAUACUCGUGCUAUUCCUAGAGAUAGGAAGUUCCUUCGGGACACGGGAUACAGGUGGUGCAUGGUUGUUGUCAGCUCGUGUCGUGAGAUGUUGGGUUAAGUCCCGCAACGAGCGCAACCCCUAUUGUUAGUUGCCAUCAUUAAGUUGGGCACUCUAACGAGACUGCCGGUGAUAAACCGGAGGAAGGUGGGGAUGACGUCAAAUCAUCAUGCCCCUUAUGAUCUGGGCUACACACUUGCUACAAUGGAUGGUACAACGAGUCGCGAGACAGUGAUGUUUAGCUAAUCUCUUAAAACCAUUCUCAGUUUGGAUUGUAGGCUGCAACUCGCCUACAUGAAGUUGGAAUCGCUAGUAAUCGCGGAUCAGCACGCCGCGGUGAAUACGUUCCCGGGCCUUGUACACACCGCCCGUCACACCACGGGAGUUGGGAGUACCCGAAGUUGGUUGCCUAACCGCAAGGAGGGCGCUACCUAAGGUAAGACCGAUGACUGGGGUGAAGUCGUAACAAGGUAACCCGA
rnacentral:rRNA from 1 species